rnacentral:lncRNA from 1 species
GGGUGCUGGAGGGAGCCGGGCCGCUCGCCUUUCCUCCUCCUCCUGCUCUUCACAGACGGCUCGUACGGCCGUGAGUCAGGAACAUCUGUGUCGUCUUUGGUGUCAUGAUACAGGUGGAUGUCAUUAAGCAUAAAACGAAGCAAGCCAGAUCAGAGCAGAGAUGAUGAUUCACACUGUACUGUAAGAAUCAAAAAUGAAGAAAGAAGAUAGGCCAAAAAAGGAUUUAACUUGGCAUGGCAGACGACACUGAGGAAUGUAAG